UCAUCAGCAGCUUACCAAACUGGUUCAAGGCAACAUACAAAAAAACAAGUAUUUAAAAGCAUUAACAAUUUAAAUUAAGACUAAACAAUUCAGAGACGCUAACAUGUUAAAACAUCAGAGAAGUUCAAAAUAACAGUGUGAAAAUGGAAUAGCUAAAAAGGUGCAGCAGCAGAGUUUAAAGCAUGAACAGGCUCUUUUGAAUAGAAAAUUUCUGGUGGUUUGGCAAAAAGCACUUCAGUUUUUUAGCUGGCAAUAGGCUUUGGACAAACUGAUCCUCUCUGGUUUGAGGGAUGGAAUAUUCAUCCCCAGGUGAAUUCUGGUUGUCUUGGCAACAGGUGGGGACUUCUAGUUGCCACAGCAACAAAGGGUUCCAAAUCUUCUUAGCCUACCACCCCUUUUGUCUGGGCUUUUUAAACUACAGUACUGCAGUCUUUCUGGCUGUGAAAGCAACUGGAUGGCAGCUGGGAUGCUAGAAAUCCCUCCCUUGCAAAACCUUAGAAGUUUUUCUCAGCCUGCAGCUUCAUAGUGGAGUGUCAGUGGUGUGAUCCAGUGCCGAGGAUAGAGAACUUCCCUUGCCCUCUGCCUUCCUGGUAGCUACAAGCAUACCAUCACGGAGGAAAACAGUCAAAGAGCGCACUUUUGACGAUGGAACUGGAAGAGUCUGAGCCGCUACCUGCUCCCACUGCAGCCUGCAUCACAGAUACUGCCACUCUGCAAUCAGGACAACAGUUCCAUUCCUCUGAUCUGAAUCCUCCCAUAGACAAAGGGAGAAAUCUAGCUCACAUGCCCUCAAAUGACUUGGCCAAGAGCCCUGCAAAAGAGCCCAAGAAAGACAGCCAAGAAGCACAGAAUCUAAAGACCCACCAUCACCCCCAGGUGUCGCUGGAGGAAGCAUCGGCAGAUGUUCCCCAUGAGGGUCAUCAUUCACUGGAACCUGAAGUGGAACAGUACUAUUACCAAGUCAACUGGCCACAAGCAAUACGGCAGAAGUGGGCAAGGGAGAAGGAGCGCCGGGAGAGGAGGCUUAACCACCUGGGCAUUGGGCAAGAUGCAGUGGUGGUUGCAAGUCACACUCCCGAACAAGCCCCUGAGGAACAAAACUUGGCACAUGGGGAGCCAGAGGAUAUGAACGGAGGCUCUUGGGAUAACACUAAAAUAGUAUUGCAGCACACAUGCUUAGAGGAUAGAUGAAAAUGGAACUGUAUUACUCUCUAUGGCAAGAAUGGAAUAAACUAUGAUCACUCUUUUCACUA